rnacentral:rRNA from 1 species
AAUGCGACCUCAGCUCAGGCGGGGCUACCCGCUGAGUUUAAGCAUAUCAAUAAGCGGAGGAAAAGAAC